rnacentral:rRNA from 1 species
AGGGUUUGAUUAUGGCUCAGGAUGAACGCUGGCGGCGCAUUUAAGACAUGCAAGUCGAACGAAAAUAUUCAACUAAAAUUGAAUGAGGAUUUAUCCAAGUGAAAUUUUGCCCGAAUAUUUUAGUGGCGGACGGGUGAGUAAUACGUAGGCAACCUGCCUCAUAGAGGGAAAUAACUAUUAGAAAUGAUAGCUAAUGUCCCAUAAGACCACGCUUAGGCAUCUAAGAGAGGUCAAAGGAGUAAUCCGCUAUGAGAUGGGCCUACGGCUGAUUAGUUAGUUGGUGAGAUAACAGCCCACCAAGACGAUGAUCAGUAGCCGAGCUGAGAGGCUGGCCGGCCACAUUGGGACUGAGACACGGCCCAG